rfam:Desulfofustis glycolicus DSM 9705 genome assembly, contig: EJ46DRAFT_scaffold00016.16
CAGCAGGAGUCAGUCCUGCCAGGGUAAGAAUCAGAGGCCCUGUAGCUUGGAUGGCAGCUAUGAGGGAAACCAAGUAGCUGAAGCCUAUCGACAAAGCAAUCUUUAGUGAUGUGAGCGAGUCACCGGGCCAUAACGAAA